rnacentral:tRNA from 1 species
GAUCCGGUAGCCAAGAGGUAAGGUAUCAGUCCGCAAAACUGAAGAGCAUCGGUUCAACUCCGAUUCGGAUCUCCA